GCAGUGGUAGCUCAGUGCUUUAGAGCAUCGGUCUUGUAAACCGAACGCCGGAGGUUAAAAUCCCCCCCACUGCU
rnacentral:tRNA from 1 species